rnacentral:rRNA from 1 species
UGGGGCCGAUUCGUCUUAAUAAAGGCGAUGUUUUCACCAUUGAACACGUUGAUGUGAUGCCUGUAUCAUUGCCCGCUGUGUUUUCUCGUCCGGUCACUUUGGUCGGAAUACCCCCCAUCAUGUAGUGACAGGUUGGGAUAACCGGAAUCGGCUCUUUCACCGGAUCAACGUGAGCGAAGGUACGGGAGAGUUCCAGAAUACCCGGCAGACGGGAUUCGAGCUGGACGAAGACUGACGCUCAGGUGCGAAAGCGUGGGGAGCAAACAGGAUUAGAUACCCUGGUAGUCCACGCCGUAAACGAUGUCGACUUGGAGGUUGUGCCCUUGAGGCGUGGCUUCCGGAGCUAACGCGUUAAGUCGACCGCCUGGGGAGUACGGCCGCAAGGUUAAAACUCAAAUGAAUUGACGGGGGCCCGCACAAGCGGUGGAGCAUGUGGUUUAAUUCGAUGCAACGCGAAGAACCUUACCUGGUCUUGACAUCCACAGRACGUUUUCAGAGAUGAGAAUGUGCCUUCGGGAACCGUGAGACAGGUGCUGCAUGGCUGUCGUCAGCUCGUGUUGUGAAAUGUUGGGUUAAGUCCCGCAACGAGCGCAACCCUUAUCCUUUGUUGCCAGCGGUCCGGCCGGGAACUCAAAGGAGACUGCCAGUGAUAAACUGGAGGAAGGUGGGGAUGACGUCAAGUCAUCAUGGCCCUUACGACCAGGGCUACACACGUGCUACAAUGGUGCAUACAAAGAGAAGCGACCUCGCGAGAGCAAGCGGACCUCAUAAAGUGCGUCGUAGUCCGGAUUGGAGUCUGCAACUCGACUCCAUGAAGUCGGAAUCGCUAGUAAUCGUGGAUCAGAAUGCCACGGUGAAUACGUUCCCGGGCCUUGUACACACCGCCCGUCACACCAUGGGAGUGGGUUGCAAAAGAAGUAGGUAGCUUAACCUUCGGGAGGGCGCUUACCACUUUGUGAUUCAUGACUGGGGUGAAGUCGUAACAAGGUAACCGUAGGGGAACCUGCGGUUG